UACGGAGGAUGCAAGCGUUAUCCGGAAUGAUUGGGCGUAAAGCGUCCGCAGGUGGCUGUGUAAGUCUGCUGUUAAAGAGUGAGGCUCAACCUCAUAAAAGCAGUGGAAACUACACGGCUAGAGUGCGUUCGGGGCAGAGGGAAUUCCUGGUGUAGCGGUGAAAUGCGUAGAUAUCAGGAAGAACACCGGUGGCGAAAGCGCUCUGCUAGGCCGCAACUGACACUGAGGGACGAAAAGCUAGGGGAGCGAAUGGG
rnacentral:rRNA from 1 species